UUUUGUAUUACUUCUCUUUGUUAAAUAAUAAUUAUGAGUUCUUUCCUGAAUCUGCCCUCAUCCCUAGAUAUCUGUAGAUAUUAAUCAUAAUAGGGAGCAACAAACAAAUUAUUAUGUUUUUAGUUAUGACCUGGGAUAUGGUAAUUUUUUUUCUUCCCCAUCCCUGCCAAGGAAUUCCAGAUUUUGAAAGGAAUUCCAAAUUUGGAUAAUUUUUAGGAUGAUUUUUGUCUCAUGAAUAUACU
rnacentral:lncRNA from 1 species